rnacentral:rRNA from 1 species
AGAGUUUGAUCCUGGCUCAGAACGAACGCUGGCGGCGUGUUUAAGACAUGCAAGUCGCACGGGAUCAUUUGAGUAGCAAUACAAGAAUGGUUUAGUGGCGCACGGGUGAGUAACACGUGAAUUACAUGCCCUGCAGAGGGGGAUAGCCCAGGGAAACUUGGAUUAAUACCCCAUGGUAUCGCAAGAUUAAACGGUGGCCGCAAGGCUGUCGCUGCAGGAUUGGUUCGCGCCCUAUCAGCUUGUUGGUGAGGUAACGGCUCACCAAGGCUACGACGGGUACCUGGUCUGAGAGGACGAUCAGGCACACUGGAACUGAGACACGGUCCAGACACCUACGGGUGGCAGCAGUCGAGAAUAAUUCACAAUGGGGGCAACCCUGAUGGUGCAACGCCGCGUGGAGGAUGACGGUCUUCGGAUUGUAAACUCCUGUCAUCUGGGAGUAAGACCUGGUCGUUAAUAGCGGACAGGGUUGAUAGUACCAGAAGAGGAAGGGACGGCUAACUUCGUGCCAGCAGCCGCGGUAAUACGAAGGUCCCGAGCGUUGUUCGGAAUCACUGGGCGUAAAGGGAGCGUAGGCGGCGUGGUAAGUCAGAUGUGAAAUCCCGGGGCUCAACCCCGGAACUGCAUCCGAUACUGCCGUGCUAGAGGAUUGGAGAGGUAGCUGGAAUUCUUGGUGUAGCAGUGAAAUGCGUGGAUAUCAAGAGGAACACUCGUGGCGAAAGCGAGCUACUGGACAACUCCUGACGCUGAGGCUCGAAGGCCAGGGUAGCGAAAGGGAUUAGAUACCCCUGUAGUCCUGGCAGUAAACGGUGCACGCUUGGUGUGAGGGGAAUCGACCCCCCUUGUGCCGGAGCAAACGCGUUAAGCGUGCCGCCUGGGAAGUACGGUCGCAAGACUAAAACUCAAAGAAAUUGACGGGGACCCGCACAAGCGGUGGAGUAUGUGGCUUAAUUCGAUGCAACGCGAAGAACCUUACCAAGGCUUGACAUGGAUUUCUAAGCACGUGAAAGCGU